GCGGGUUUAGCUCAGUUGGGAGAGCGUCAGACUGAAGUAGCACUUCAAUCAGCAGAUCCAUCUGCAAUCUGAAGGUCAUGUGUUCGAUCCACAUAAACCGCA